rnacentral:tRNA from 1 species
GGAGACGUGCCCGAGUGAGAUAGGGAACACCUUGAUAGGGUGCUUUACGGGGGUUAAACUCCCUCCGGCUCCA